rnacentral:rRNA from 1 species
UGGGAAGUACGUACGCAAGUNUNNAACUUAAAGGAAUUGGCGGGGGAGCACCACAAGGGGUGAAGCCUGCGGUUCAAUUGGAGUCAACGCCAGAAAUCUUACCUGGGGAGACAGCAGAAUGAAGGUCAAGCUGAAGACUUUACCAGACACGCUGAGAGGUGGUGCAUGGCCGUCGCCAGCUCGUGCCGUGAGAUGUCCUGUUAAGUCAGGUAACGAGCGAGACCCCUGCGUCUAGUUGCUANNNNNACUCUCUGGAGCAGUGGAGCGAAUUAGACGGACCGCCACAGUUAAUGUGGAGGAAGGAAGGGGCCACGGCAGGUCANNAUNCCCCGAAACCCUAGGGCUACACGCGGGCUGCAAUGGUAUUGACAAUGUGUUCCGAAUCCGAAAGGAGGAGGCAAUCAUCAAACAAUAUCUCAGUUAUGACUGAGGGCUGUAACUCG